CGGCACAGCAGCAGCAAGGCGGCAUCCCGCCGUGCGCGCCAUGGGUGCCCGAAUCAUGCUCGCCAUGGACUGCCGGCGGGUGCAGCGCAUGCGCCUGCUGCACCUGCGCCUGCAUCAGCGGGCAAUGCCCACUCCAGCCGAGCAGCCGCUUGGCAUCCGCCGGCAACAGGCCAGACAGCGGCAUGCUCAGCAGAUGGAUCAGCAGUGCCAGGCUGGCGAGCCAGGCGGGGAGGCGGCGGCGUGUCAUCGGCGAU
rnacentral:antisense_RNA from 1 species